rnacentral:lncRNA from 8 species
AUGGCCAUUUGCAUCCUAGCUACAGCAAACCGGCCUUGUCUUGUCUUGUCUUCUGUUGUCUUUCACAAGAGGAAAAUGGUUCCAACGGAGGCAAUGAGUGGGGUCCAGAAUGUUCUAGAACCCAGCCAAGACAAUGGAUGGAUCAUUCACUGUUUGGCCCACACCAUGGCUGAAGAUGUAGUACACUCAGCUACAUAUUACGAGUCCUCAUCCAUCCGUCUUCCAGUUCAGGAGAGAUUGGCUGAGAAGCUAGCCUCUCUGGCCAUCAUAGCUGCCUUUAAGGAAGCAGUUGGAAGUGAGAGCUUUUGGUCCAACAUACCCUCUUCAUUCAGCACAAGAUCUUUGUCCUAUUCCAAUGCCAGCUCACCCUCAGAUAGAAGGAAGACGGUCCUACACAGUACAAGACAAAGGGAGGUUCAUAUGGAUACAGAGAUGAGUGGAAAUGGUGAGACACAUCAAUUCAACGGGACCAUCAAGUACCAUUCCUCUGGAUCCUCCAGCUCCACUCUCCGCCCCUCCAAGGACACCCACUCCUCCGGCGAGGUCAGUUAUGAAGAGCGAGGACCCCACGGAAGGAGUGCCAAGCUGAUGACGUACGCAGAGGCGAUCUCUGAUGACAUCAUCACAUGGCUGAACAAUAACAUAACAAAUAUUGACGAUCUCUGUCUGAUAUCUGAUCAACUGUCUGAUAAAAUCAUCACGUCGUUAUUAACUGAGGUGAGGCUGAGGGGGUAUGCUGGAAGGCUGGUCUCGGAUGCAUUCUCCCCGGGUUGGAAAGAGCUAAAGAUGGCCUCAGUCCAAGACGCCCUGGUUCGACAUCCAACCACCAACUAUGCUGGAAGGCUGGUCUCCGGUGCACUCUCUCUGGCUAGAGCGGAGCUGAAGAGGGCCUCUCUCCAUGACUCCCUAUGCUGGAAGGCUGGUCUCCGGUGCACUCUCUCUGGCUAGAGCGGAGCUGAAGAGGGCCUCUCUCCAUGACUCCCUAUGCUGGAAGGCUGGUCUCCGGUGCACUCUCUCUGGCUAGAGCGGAGCUGAAGAGGGCCUCUCUCCAUGACUCCCUAUGCUGGAAGGCUGGUCUCCGGUGCACUCUCUCUGGCUAGAGCGGAGCUGAAGAGGGCCUCUCUCCAUGACUCCCUAUGCUGGAAGGCUGGUCUCCGGUGCACUCUCUCUGGCUAGAGCGGAGCUGAAGAGGGCCUCUCUCCAUGACUCCCUAUGCUGGAAGGCUGGUCUCCGGUGCACUCUCUCUGGCUAGAGCGGAGCUGAAGAGGGCCUCUCUCCAUGACUCCCUAUGCUGGAAGGCUGGUCUCCGGUGCACUCUCUCUGGCUAGAGCGGAGCUGAAGAGGGCCUCUCUCCAUGACUCCCUAUGCUGGAAGGCUGGUCUCCGGUGCACUCUCUCUGGCUAGAGCGGAGCUGAAGAGGGCCUCUCUCCAUGACUCCCUAUGCUGGAAGGCUGGUCUCCGGUGCACUCUCUCUGGCUAGAGCGGAGCUGAAGAGGGCCUCUCUCCAUGACUCCCUAUGCUGGAAGGCUGGUCUCCGGUGCACUCUCUCUGGCUAGAGCGGAGCUGAAGAGGGCCUCUCUCCAUGACUCCCUAUGCUGGAAGGCUGGUCUCCGGUGCACUCUCUCUGGCUAGAGCGGAGCUGAAGAGGGCCUCUCUCCAUGACUCCCUAUGCUGGAAGGCUGGUCUCCGGUGCCCUCUCUCUGGCUAGAGCGGAGCUGAAGAGGGCCUCUCUCCAUGACUCCCUAUGCUGGAAGGCUGGUCUCCGGUGCACUCUCUCUGGCUAGAGCGGAGCUGAAGAGGGCCUCUCUCCAUGACUCCCUAUGCUGGAAGGCUGGUCU